GCUUGCUGGAUGCUGACGAGCGGCGGACGGGUGAGUAAUGCAUAGGAAUCUGCCCGGUAGUGGGGGAUAACCUGGGGAAACCCAGGCUAAUACCGCAUACGUCCUACGGGAGAAAGGGGGCUUCGGCUCCCGCUAUCGGAUGAGCCUAUGUCGGAUUAGCUAGUUGGUGAGGUAACGGCUCACCAAGGCCACGAUCCGUAGCUGGUCUGAGAGGAUGAUCAGCCACAUCGGGACUGAGACACGGCCCGAACUCCUACGGGAGGCAGCAGUGGGGAAUAUUGGACAAUGGGGGGAACCCUGAUCCAGCCAUGCCGCGUGUGUGAAGAAGGCCCUCGGGUUGUAAAGCACUUUCAGCGAGGAAGAACGCCUAGCGGUUAAUACCCGCUAGGAAAGACAUCACUCGCAGAAGAAGCACCGGCUAACUCCGUGCCAGCAGCCGCGGUAAUACGGAGGGUGCAAGCGUUAAUCGGAAUUACUGGGCGUAAAGCGCGCGUAGGUGGCUUGAUAAGCCGGUUGUGAAAGCCCCGGGCUCAACCUGGGAACGGCAUCCGGAACUGUCAAGCUAGAGUGCAGGAGAGGAAGGUAGAAUUCCCGGUGUAGCGGUGAAAUGCGUAGAGAUCGGGAGGAAUAC
rnacentral:rRNA from 1 species